CUUAUGUAUCAACAAAAUCACACCAGACCACCCAAAGCUGGCCCUGCCAACUGACCACACACACCCCUGCCUGAAAGGCAUGUUUCAAUGUGCAACAGACGCCUGCCACUCAGGGGACAUCAAAUGUUCAUGAGAACUCGCUAACCUCGAAACAGGGUUCUACAAAUUCAAAAAAACCACCCGUGGCCUGGCUCUGGGCUGAAGCUGAGUCCUGGCUUGAAAUCCCCUGCCUUAAUCUCUCUUCGAAGACUUUUCUGCAUUCAUCUGAGUCCUCAUCCUCCAAGGCAGGGCUCAGGCUUGGGCUCAGGCUCCCAGCCAUGUAUCCCUCCUGGACCAUUCCUGACUCCUUUCCAGUAUCCUUAUCACUUGUACCACAUACGUUGGCCUUUGAUCCUGUGUACUGUUGGAUUUGUCUUUACUUCACAGGUUCAUCUUGUCUCCCCAAGAACAAUGAGAGUUGCCUCAAGGGGUAGAACCAUGCUUUUUGUUUUCUUUUGAAUUCAUUACAGCACAGCCAAAAGCUCAACACACAAAACACACUCAGUAAAUAUCUGUUGAACAGAAUAAAAGCCAUUCCGCAU
rnacentral:lncRNA from 10 species